UACGUAGGGCGCGAGCGUGUCCGGAAUUAUUGGGCGUAAAGAGCUCGUAGGCGGCUUGUCACGUCGGGUGUGAAAGACCGGGGCUUAACUCCGGUUCUGCAUUCGAUACGGGCUAGCUAGAGUGUGGUAGGGGAGAUCGGAAUUCCUGGUGUAGCGGUGAAAUGCGCAGAUAUCAGGAGGAACACCGGUGGCGAAGGCGGGUCUCUGGGCCGAUACUGACGCUGAGGAGCGAAAGCGUGGGGAGCGAACAGG
rnacentral:rRNA from 1 species